CUAUUGCGCAUGAUGAUUGUAUAAGCAUAGUUCACCUGAAACUAUCAUGUAGAUACAAAUUUUCUUUCGCCCCUAUCUGAUGCAAUGC
rfam:Batrachochytrium dendrobatidis JEL423 supercont1.1 genomic scaffold, whole genome shotgun sequence.